rnacentral:rRNA from 1 species
UACGAAGGGGGCUAGCGUUGUUCGGAAUUACUGGGCGUAAAGGGCGCGUAGGCGGUGUGUCAAGUCAGGCGUGAAAGCCCCGGGCUCAACCUGGGAACUGCGUCCGAUACUGGUUGGCUUGAGUUUGGGAGAGGGAUGCGGAAUUCCAGGUGUAGCGGUGAAAUGCGUAGAUAUCUGGAGGAAUACCGGUGGCGAAGGCGGCAUCCUGGACCGGCAUUGACGCUGAGGAGCGAAAGCCAGGGAGCAAAGCGGG